rnacentral:lncRNA from 1 species
AAAGGUUCAAAAAACACAUUAUUUUCCACAUACUGUGUGUAACAGAGUUAUAUACAAAGUGUGUCUCCACUUGCAAAUAAUGAUAUAUCAAAUAAUCACAUUUACAAAUGACUAGAUGGAAAAAUGUUUAUCAGAGCUUCCUAUUGGCUGGCUGGUUCUACGUGCUGUGUACGCCCCUGUUGCGUUCGUCAGUUCAUUUGUAAAAAGGCCAGUGCGUGCCAGCACGAGGAGUGUCGAAUAUGCUGGAACUGAUCAACUCACUCUGUGUUAUCCUGUUUUCUCAGUGAAUAAAAAAACAAAGGCUGGGAGAAGAGUUUGGUUUUCACGAGCUUUAUUGAUACACAACACAACGCAGAAAAGAUUAAAAGAAAAGACCAGUUACAUGUGCAUUAUUGUUGCUCUUCUAUGCCCCACCUUUCUGAAACGCGCCAAUUUUUACAAAGCUCAUCAUUUUCAAAAGAGAG